rnacentral:rRNA from 1 species
AGUGAACGCUGGCGGUAGGCCUAACACAUGCAAGUCGAACGGCAGCACAGUAAGAGCUUGCUCUUACGGGUGGCGAGUGGCGGACGGGUGAGGAAUACAUCGGAAUCUACUUUUUCGUGGGGGAUAACGUAGGGAAACUUACGCUAAUACCGCAUACGACCUACGGGUGAAAGCAGGGGAUCUUCGUACCUUGCGCGAUUUAAUUAGCCGAUGUCGGAUUAGCUAGUUGGCGGGGUAAAGGCCCACCGAGGCGACGAUCCGUAGCUGGUCUGAGAGGAUGAGCAGCCAAACUGGAAGUGAGACACGGUCCAGACGCCUACGGAAGGCAGCAGUGGGAAAUAUUGGACAAUGGGGGCAAGCAUGAUCCAGCCAUACCGAGUGGGUGAAGAAGGCCUUAGGGUUGAAAAGAGCUUUUGAAGGGAAAGAAGAGCAGCAGGAUAAUAACCGGCUGGACUGACAGUACCAAAAGAAUAAGCACCGGCUAAAUUCGUG